rnacentral:rRNA from 1 species
CCUACGGGUGGCAGCAGUGAGGAAUAUUGGUCAAUGGCCGAGAGGCUGAACCAGCCAAGUCGCGUGAGGGAUGACGGCCCUACGGGUUGUAAACCUCUUUUGUCGGGGAGCAAAGAGAGUCACGUGUGGCUCAUUGAGAGUACCCGCAGAAAACGCAUCGGCUAACUCCGUGCCAGCAGCCGCGGUAAUACGGAGGAUGCGAGCGUUAUCCGGAUUUAUUGGGUUUAAAGGGUGCGCAGGCGGAGGUGCAAGUCAGUGGUCAAAUUGCGGGGCUCAACCCCGUACCGCCGUUGAAACUGCAGCCCUUGAGUGAGCGAGAGGUAUGCGGAAUGCGUGGUGUAGCGGUGAAAUGCAUAGAUAUCACGCAGAACGCCGGUGGCGAAGGCAGCAUACCGGCGCGCAACUGACGCUCAGGCACGAAAGCGUGGGUAUCGAACAGGAUUAGAUACCCGGGUAGUC